rnacentral:lncRNA from 1 species
AUCAUCCUCCUCAAUUUACAUUAGAUUUGGUUUUGGUAAGAAGCAUUCUUGCCCUGUGCUUUUUGUCAACACCAUCCAGUGGCUUGAAACAUCAGGCAGAAAAGCCACCAGUAACUAACCCUUGGAGGAAGUUCAAAGAACUCCGAUCUCUGGGGAUAUUUCCUAAUACUUCCCUAAGUAGAUGAGUAGUUGGGAGCUGAGAGCCUCUGCUUCACCCCCUUGGCCAUGUGAAGCUAAUCUAAGACUGGUGCCAUUCCUGACCACUAGCUGUAGAAAUGCUUUAAGGGUUGCAUGCACCGGUAGACUAAAAGCACAGGGAAGGAAAAUGGAUUAAAUAUCCAUUUCAUUCCAGCACAGUUAUAUGUGUCUAGUUACAGAAAAUGCCCUGGAGCCGCCAAGGGUUAGUUUUUAUUCCUCAUCUCCUUGGGGAGGAUAAACUAGAAAUUUU